rnacentral:rRNA from 1 species
AUAUUCCUGUACUUGGUGUUACUGCGAAGGGGGGACGGAGAAGGCUAGGCUAGCCGGGCGACGGUUGUCCCGGUUUAAGCGUGUAGGGGGUGUGACCUGGUAAAUCCGGUUGCAUAUCAACCCUGAGGCGUGAUGACGAUGCACUACGGUGCAGAAGUAGUUGAUGCCCUGCUUCCAGGAAAAGCCUCUAAGCUCUAGGUAACAUU